UGGAAAGUCCCACAAUACGGUUUAGUGAUACACGCAAUGCAUUUUGGGAGGACAAUGGCGGAGUUGAGCAGAAGGAAAAGAGGCUAAGAGCUAAUUAGUGCUACAUUUGGAAUAGGGGAAUUGAUUGAUUCUGUGGUAAAUGAAGAUGACAUUCUUGAUGCUGAGCUUUGUGAAACCAACAUGUAAACAGGAAAAGAAAAGUUACUUUCAAUGCAGAAAUAGAUCAAGGAAUGAAUGAAAGUGUUUCUGAUUAAAUUGAGAGAAAAAAAUUAUCCAAGGGGAUAAAUUUUAUGUGAAGGAAGUUUCAAAGCAAUUAGUAUACUUUCAAUUUAUUCCAUUUCACAUGCUUUUAAAGAAAACUGUUCUAAGAGGAUAUAAACAAUUCUCCUCACACGCCACAUAGUGCUUGUGCACAUAUUUUUGAAGCUGUAGUAAAACCCUGUUUUAACUUACAAAUGUAGAAUUUUAUUCACUGAGCUCCGGUUAUAUUUGAUUCACAUAUUCUUAUGAAGAAGACGAGGAUUAUGUCCCAACUGAUGAAAAAUUGUCGGAGGAACCAUCAAGCACCACAUUUCCAUCAAAGAGAAAAAGAUGGACAGUGGAUGAGGAGAAUGUCCUGAGAUUUGAAUUUAAUAAGAACUUUAAAGAUAAAAACAUGCAAGAAAUGCUGAAGCACUGAAAGUAAAAAAAAAAAAAAAAAAAAAUUUCUUGCUGAUAAAAAUAUUUAUUAGAUAAAGAGUAAAGUGAAACAUAUGCUGAGACGUAAAUGAGUUAACAGAGUUAGGACUUUUGUCAUGCAGUCAAACAUGAUUCUGUGAAACUUUAGACUGGAACAGUAAUUACUCCUGAAAAAAUACCCCAGACUUAUUUUUUGGUCAUCUGAAUUAACUUAGAGGUAGAUAAACAAGGGUCCUACUGAAUGCUAAAUGUUUUAGAUUGAAGAUUGAAUGUUUAUAUAUUAUACCUGUAUACACUCUCUUCUUCCUGUCUGCAUCAUUUGUCAAGGGGUGUUACCUCAUGGUUGAAGUUUUUAGUCAUUUUAAAAUCAUAAUGUCAGCAUUAAGAUGUUAUAAUCUCAUAUAUGUCACUGUUUUUGUUUAAGGUUAAGUGAACAUGAUCGAAAUAUUAUGCGAGUAUACUCGCUAUGAUAACUAUCUGCAUCAUGUGUCCCUGGCGUAUGGUUUGAAAUGCAUUAGUGUAAAGAUGUAAAGUUGUUUUGAAAAACCACUGUUAUGAGUAUGGCACAAUUAUUACUUCAUACAUUUUAAAAGUAUAAUACAAAUGCAUUUUAGAAAUACUUAUAGUUUAAAAAGACAGUCAUGUUACAUAUUGUAUAUAAUUGUUAUAUUGUAUCUAAUGGGUAGGUUAUGAAAAACGUUAUUAUAUCCAACCUUCGGGGGUUUUAAUCCAACACUUGUUGCAGGCAACCACAAGGUGACUGUGGCACCUCUGGUUAGACUAGAAGAAUAUAUGCGAUGGUAAAGUGUCCUUUAUCCGUCUGUCUGUGUGUCUGUUUGUUCGUCUCUUUUUGUCUGUCUCUCUGUCUGUUAACUACCCCUACAGCUUUUGUCUGAUUUCAAUAAAACUCAUUACAUAGGUAGACAAUAUCAAGACACACAAUUUUCUUUAUUGGUUCUUGAUUUUGACGAAUGAUGGUGCCAUGGUUACAAAAAUUAGAAUAAUCUGUGAAAUUCUUUUCAAAUACUUCUCCUCCUACAGUUUUGGUCUGAUUGAAUAAAAUUGUGUACACAAGUAGAUUACAUCAAAAUUCAUAAUUCUAUUUAUCAGUAUUUGAUUUCAAUAAAUGGUGUUGCCAUGGUUACUAGAAGUAGAAUAAUUUGUAAAAUUCUUUCAAAAUGCUACUCUUUCUACAGUUUUGACCUGAUAAACUUUAAUAUUUCAAGUCCAAACCAAUAGAGCUACAGUCGUAUCAGAGACUUGGUUAUUUAUAUACAGUGAAUCAAAUUAAACUAUAUAAUUAAAUGAGGAAGAAAAAAUGCAAAUCUAAUUCCUAAGUUGUUGGGGUUUUUUUUAUGACAUAUUUAUUUUCAGCUAUCUAUUCUUAUGUGAUCUUUCAUUAUUAAAAAAAAUUAAUACCUAAGAUAAAGUAUUUUAUCGAUAUCAAGAAUGUUCACAUCUAUUAAUAUUGUAUAUGAAAUAAUGCAUAAAAAUUUCCCCCAUUAACUUUUUGAAAUAAAAUAUAAUCUUUAACUAAUAAAAGUGUUAUCUUAUUAGUGUUAUUUUACCCCUGCAGAGAAAGUUAGCCUGGUAUAUAGGAUUUGCCUUGUCUGUCUGUUUAUCUGCCUGUCUAGGUGACAAGUGUUGAGGAGGGAUUGCCAUGCCAUGGCCAUAACUUGGGGGGGGGGAUUGGCCAUUUAUAUUUGACACAGAGAUGGACAUGACCAUGAGUUUGUCAUGACCUUGACCUGGUGUCACCAGGAGAAAAUAUUUUGUGUUGUGACCUUUAUCAGAUGUUAUUUAGACAAGGUCACAAGGAGAAAAAUGUAUGAAAUUUUGGUCUGGGCCAUAGCUGUAUCAGAGGAAAGAAUCUAUAUAACUAGACACAGAGGUUACUUAAAACUUAAUGCUAUGUCAUUCUUAGAUCAUUUCAUUUGUUGAAGGUCGGUGGGGAUGUGAGAAACUGUGUCUGGACCAUUGCUGUGUAACAGAAAUUUAAGAAUGUUAUUGACACUGUAGUUGCUCAUGAUUUGAGGGUUUGUCCUGCACCUGACACGAAUCAAUUGGUCAUGCAGAAUGUCAGUUUGAGGAAUUGUAUUGAUUGUAUCAUGGUUAUCACAUUUUUAUGUUCCCCAAACAAAGUUUGGGAACAUAUUGUUUUUAC